AUUGACCUUAAAAUUUAGUAGCCUCUCUCUUUAUACACCAUGUUGGCUCUCCAUUUCCCCAGCCCCAAGUAGGCCGGCUGUUCUACUUCUACUUCUCAUCCACGGGUGUCUCUCUAAGUCUAUUUCUCUGCUUAUCUAAUUAACAGCAUCCACUGUGGGAGAGUAUUCACUGAAUGCUCUAUUGUUCACGUGUUUGUUUUAGGGUUUAGGCGAGGCAGCUUCUUCUUCAGCGACCAAUGGCUCCUCCUAAGGGUGAUACAAAAAGGCUGAUCCAAAGGCACAGGCCUUGAAGGCUGCGAAGGCUGUGAAGUCUGGACCAACCUUUAAGAAGAAGGCCAAGAAGAUCUGAACAUCUGUUACAUUUCACCGCCGAAGACAUUGAAGAAGGACAGGAACCCCAAGUACCGUCGCAUCAGUGCUCCACCAAGGAAUAAGCUCGAUCAUUAUCAAAUUCUCAAGUAUCCCCUCACUACUGAGUCUGCCAUGAAGAAGAUUGAAGAUGACAAUACUUUGCUUUUCAUUGUUGACAUUCGUGCUGACAAAAAGCAGAUAAAGGAUGCAGUCAAAAAGAUGUAUGAUAUUCAGGCAAAGAAAGUGAAUACCUUGAUCAGGUAUUAGGGCUGGAUUCAAUCCCAGGUAUUGGAGCUCGCAUUGCAGCUCAAAUCAAACAACUCAAAUUAGAGCUCAAGUAGAAUUAAGCUUGAGCCAAGGAUUGAGUUCGUUUUCAUAAGCGAGUCAGGUUCUAUCUCACUUGGAUCGAGCCCAAAAUCAAUUUGCUUUUGAGCUUCAAAUUUACAAAUCGAGCCAAGUUUGAGCCUCGAUUUAUUUAGCACUUUGAUCAUGUGCUUAUUCUUGUCCAAGCUUGACCCGGAUAUAAUACAGAGCAAAUAAACAGCUAAAUCAGAUGUUUGUCAUAUGAUGUUUUGUCAUGAAUUUUAUUACAUUGCCAUAUACUUUUUAUAUUAAAUUCUAGUGGGAUAUAGUUGCUUAUAUUUUUUUCUA